AGAUUUUGCUUGGCGUACUUGCCUUUUUUCUUGAAGUUGGGUGUCAGUCGUCUCUGCGGCAAGCAAGGAUUCUGGAUCGGGCGCAGGUCGUCGCCAUAAGAGAGCCUGGCUGGUGUGGUCUUCAUGCUUGGUGUGGAGAAGCAGGGGAGGAUGAGUAGGACGGGCAUGGGGAAGGAGCAGCCAUGCCGGAGCUCCAGCGUUGCUCACGUCAUGGUCGAAUGGAGCCGGCCAUCACUAUGGACUGCUGCUCGCCGGUCGUCGUUCCCCAAUCUCAGUUGCUCAUCUUUGGCUUCACCAUCUUCCUCCCCUGAUCAUGCAUCUAUUUUAGAUCAUAUAAUUAUGCUAUAUCAUAUAUGUUUAGUUCAGACUUGUGCAUGUGCAUGCAUUGGCAUUGAUUUAGACAGAGAUAUUGCAUGAUUUGUACAUAAAAGGAGUACGGAUGAUCUAAGAAUAAAUGUUCGAAUAAAGUUAGUAGUGAGAUUUAGGUAGAGGUUACCUGCACUGUUCUGUUUUAUGUAGAUUCUAAGCUGCAAAAUCAUACACGGUCCUGUUAGUAGUUUGUUUGAGUUGUGAGUU